CAGUAGCCGCGGUAAUACGAAGGGGGCUAGCGUUGCUCGGAAUUACUGGGCGUAAAGGGAGCGUAGGCGGACAUUUAAGUCAGGGGUGAAAUCCCAGAGCUCAACUCUGGAACUGCCUUUGAUACUGGGUGUCUUAAGUGUGAUAGAGGUAUGUGGAACUCCGAGUGUAGAGGUGAAAUUCGUAGAUAUUCGGAAGAACACCAGUGGCGAAGGCGACAUACUGGAUCAUUACUGACGCUGAGGCUCGAAAGCGUGGGGAGCAAACAGGAUUAGAUACCCCUGUAGUCCCUGUCUCUUAUAC
rnacentral:rRNA from 1 species